rnacentral:rRNA from 1 species
AGAGUUUGAUCCUGGCUCAGGAUGAACGCUGGCGGCGUGCCUAAUACAUGCAAGUCGAGCGAAUGGAUGGGAGCUUGCUCCCUGAAGUUAGCGGCGGACGGGUGAGUAACACGUGGGCAACCUACCUACAAGAUUGGGAUAACUUCGGGAAACCGGAGCUAAUACCGGGUAAUACAUUGGAUCGCAUGGUUCGAUGUUGA